rnacentral:rRNA from 1 species
CGUAAAGAGUCUGUAGGUGGUUUGUCAAGUCUUUGGUGAAAGGCCGUAGCUUAACUAUGGGAAUGCCAAAGAGACUGGCAGGCUGGAGGCUGGGAGAGGGAAGCGGAAUUUCUGGUGUAGCGGUGAAAUGCGUAGAUAUCAGAAGGAAGGGCACGCGGCGUCGACGUCGGCGCCAAGGACGACAUCUACGACAUCAUCUCGGACCUCGCCACCUCCGGUCUCGCGUGCCUGAUCAUCUCGUCGGAUCUCGAAGAGCUCGCGCUCAUCUGCGAUCGCGUCCUCGUGAUCUACGAGGGCAGGAUCGUGGGAGAGGUGGGCCACGGCGAGGUCACGACGGCCCGGCUCGGCGAGCUCGUCGUCGGUGGUGCCCAGUGAACGUGGCUCUGGAGGUGGACAGGACGCGGGCGACGCGUCGAACCGUGCGCCACGCCCUUGGCCGGGCGAUCCGCCUACGUGAGGUGCAGC